CAUUUAAAGAAAGCGUAAUAGCUCACUGGUCGAGUCGGCCUGCGCGGAAGAUGUAACGGGGCUAAACCAUGCACCGAAGCUGCGGCAGCGACACUCAGGUGUUGUUGGGUAGGGGAGCGUUCUGUAAGCCUGCGAAGGUGGCCUGUGAGGGUUGCUGGAGGUAUCAGAAGUGCGAAUGCUGACAUAAGUAACGAUAAAGCGGGUGAAAAGCCCGCUCGCCGGAAGACCAAGGGUUCCUGUCCAACGUUAAUCGGGGCAGGGUGAGUCGACCCCUAAGGCGAGGCCGAAAGGCGUAGUCGAUGGGAAACGGGUUAAUAUUCCCGUACUUGGUGUUACUGCGAAGGGGGGACGGAGAAGGCUAUGUUGGCCGGGCGACGGUUGUCCCGGUUUAAGCGUGUAGGUGUGUGUUCCAGGUAAAUCCGGUUCACUUUAACACUGAGGCGUGACGACGAGGCACUACGGUGCUGAAGCAACAAAUGCCCUGCUUCCAGGAAAAGCCUCUAAGCAUCAGGUAACAUCAAAUCGUACCCCAAACCGACACAGGUGGUCAGGUAGAGAAUACCAAGGCGCUUGAGAGAACUCGGGUGAAGGAACUAGGCAAAAUGGUGCCGUAACUUCGGGAGAAGGCACGCUGACACGUAGGUGAAGUGAUUUACUCAUGGAGCUGAAGUCAGUCGAAGAUACCAGCUGGCUGCAACUGUUUAUUAAAAACACAGCACUGUGCAAACACGAAAGUGGACGUAUACGGUGU
rnacentral:rRNA from 1 species